UUACUUACUUGACAGGGGAGAGUUGGUGAUCACUGCUGCUGCUCUCCGAGGAUGUGGCUAUCCCUUACACGUUGGGUGUGUUAACGCUUGCAAUCUCCUCAAAUGCGGAGUAGUCGACUGCACAAUUUGUGGCGGUGGGGGCUGCGUUCGCACUUUCAAG